CCUGCAAGAAGAUCUAUGAAAAAUAUUUUGAAAAAAAUUAUGAACUAUGAAGAUCAAAAGCCUUUACUUCAAGAGAAUCAUCUAGAAAUCAAAGUAUAAAAGAAGAAAUAGAAGAAGUAUACAUGAUCGAUGAUGACUUCGCCACCUAUCAUCCAGAAACAAGAACUAGAAUGUUAUUUUGAAAAAAAAAAGAAAAUAUUUUCUUACUAAUCCUUCUACCAAA
rnacentral:lncRNA from 1 species